GACUGCACUAACUGCAAGUCGCUCUGGAUAAGAGCAUCUGCUAAAUGACUAAAA
rfam:Salmo salar isolate Sally breed double haploid chromosome ssa11, whole genome shotgun sequence.